rnacentral:rRNA from 1 species
AUUGAACGCUGGCGGCAGGCCUAACACAUGCAAGUCGAGCGGAUGAAGGGAGCUUGCUCCUGGAUUCAGCGGCGGACGGGUGAGUAAUGCCUAGGAAUCUGCCUGGUAGUGGGGGAUAACGUCCGGAAACGGGCGCUAAUACCGCAUACGUUCUGAGGGAGAAAGUGGGGGAUCUUCGGACCUCACGCUAUCAGAUGAGCCUAGGUCGGAUUAGCUAGUUGGUGGGGUAAAGGCUUACCAGGGCGACGAUCCGUAACUGGUCUGAGAGGAUGAUCAGUCACACUGGAACUGAGACACGGUCCAGACUCCUACGGGAGGAAGCAGUGGGGAAUAUUGGACAAUGGGCGAAAGCCUGAUCCAGCCAUGCCGCGUGUGUGAAGAAGGUCUUCGGAUUGUAAAGCACUUUAAGUUGGAAGGAAGAGCAGUAAGUUAAUACCUUGCUGUUUUGACGUUACCAACAGAAUAAGCACCGGCUAACUUCGU